UAAGACAGCGCUCAUGCUGAGAGAAACACAAUGUCUGGUAAUGGGGGCAGAAUCUGAGAGACGGAAACAGAUGGAGAGAGAGCUGCUAACAUGAGAUUCAGUGCACAAUGACAAGGGUCUCUGUGAUCAAAGGCGUUAUACAAGGGAAAAUUAUACUUCUUGAGGUAGUACCUAUGUCAAAUCUCCUGGUGCUACAGGAGUCUCUUCUCACUUAGAAACAGGCUUCGAAGAUCAUUUCCAAGCUGAUGCGUGUGUGUGUGUCUGGUGGUGGUGGAUGAAGAUUAGCUUUAGAAGAUGCCAGAAGCCUGAAGACAGUACUUGAAGUGAGAUUUGUGCUAGGAGAGGAGAGCCUCCUCUGAGCGACUGAGCUAUCUCACCUGAAGCCGGGGGAAGCUACCCACAAUACUGUCAUUCAGCUCCUCCAUGUGGUAGAGAAGUUCAACCACAUGGACGUCAGCCCUGCUCAGCCUGUUUCCAACAAGAUGACGUGAUUUUAAUAAUGGCUGCGGAGAUUAUCAUCAUGAAACAUGUCCUACAUCAUCAACACCACAAAGACCAAGUUAAGGGUGAAUUGUGGCGGCCCUGCUGAUUUCACGGAGGGGUCUCAACCGACGCUCGGGACAGCAACUCGGCUCACCAGGGGUCUGGAGCCAACUCAGGGAUUAAAGCCGGAACCAGUAGCCCAACAUUCAAAAGAGGCUGUGGCUUUGAUCCGCCUUCCUGCCCUGAAAUCCUAGCUUUGAUAUGCCCGGUUCCCGCUCUCACCUAUCUGCUAAAAGACUUGACUUUGUUGCCUCAAGUAUAUAUAUUCCCGUUUCUCUAAGUAAAGAUUACACCUCUUUCCUGUA